AAUUAGAAAGCGAAUUAUUGCAUUUAGUUUCGACCUAAAUCUUGGCCAUCAUGCCUCUAAUUU
rnacentral:tRNA from 1 species